UACGAAGGAUGCGAGCGUUAUCCGGAUUUAUUGGGUUUAAAGGGAGCGUAGGCGGUCUUAUAAGUCAGUGGUGAAAUCCUAUCGCUUAACGAUAGACGUGCCAUUGAUACUGUAGGACUUGAGUACAGAUGCCGUUGGCGGAAUGUGUCAUGUAGCGGUGAAAUGCAUAGAUAUGACACAGAACACCGAUUGCGAAGGCAGCUGACGAAACUGUAACUGACGCUGAGGCUCGAAAGCGUGGGGAGCAAACAGG
rnacentral:rRNA from 1 species